AGAGAGCGGCGUACGGGUGCGUAACACGUGUGCAACCUACCUUUAUCAGGGGAAUAGCCUUUCGAAAGGAAGAUUAAUACUCCAUAAUAUAUUGAAUGGCAUCAUUCGAUAUUGAAAACUCCGGUGGAUAAAGAUGGGCACGCGCAAGAUUAGAUAGUUGGUGAGGUAACGGCUCACCAAGUCAAUGAUCUUUAGGGGUCCUGAGAGGGAGAUCCCCCACACUGGUACUGAGACACGGACCAGACUCCUACGGGAGGCAGCAGUGAGGAAUAUUGGACAAUGGGUGAAAGCCUGAUCCAGCCAUCCCGCGUGAAGGAUGACGGUCCUAUGGAUUGUAAACUUCUUUUGUAUAGGGAUAAACCUAGAUACGUGUAUCUAGCUGAAGGUACUAUACGAAUAAGCACCGGCUAACUCCGUGCCAGCAGCCGCGGUAAUACGGAGGGUGCAAGCGUUAUCCGGAUUUAUUGGGUUUAAAGGGUCCGUAGGCGGGCCGAUAAGUCAGUGGUGAAAUCUCAUAGCUUAACUAUGAAACUGCCAUUGAUACUGUCGGUCUUGAGUAAAUUAGAGGUAGCUGGAAUAAGUAGUGUAGCGGUGAAAUGCAUAGAUAUUACUUAGAACACCAAUUGCGAAGGCAGGUUACCAUGAUUUAACUGACGCUGAGGGACGAAAGCGUGGGGAGCGAACAGGAUUAGAUACCCUGGUAGUCCACGCCGUAAACGAUGCUAACUCGUUUUUGGGGCGCAAGCUUCAGAGACCA
rnacentral:rRNA from 1 species